GAUGAACGCUGGCGGCGUGCCUAAUACAUGCAAGUCGAGCGAACAGACGAGGAGCUUGCUCCUUCGACGUUAGCGGCGGACGGGUGAGUAACACGUAGGUAACCUACCUAUAAGACUGGGAUAACUUCGGGAAACCGGAGCUAAUACCGGAUAAUAUUUCGAACCGCAUGGUUCGAUAGUGAAAGAUGGCUUUGCUAUCACUUAUAGAUGGACCUGCGCCGUAUUAGCUAGUUGGUAAGGUAACGGCUUACCAAGGCAACGAUACGUAGCCGACCUGAGAGGGGGAUCGGCCACACUGGAAGUGAGACACGGUCCAGACUCCUACGGGAGGCAGCAGUAGGGAAUCUUCCGCAAAGGGCGAAAGCCUGACGGAGCAACGCCGCGUGAGUGAUGAAGGUCUUCGGAUCGUAAAACUCUGUUAUUAGGGAAGAACAAACGUGUAAGUAACUGUGCACGUCUUGACGGUACCCAAUCAGAAAGCCACGGCGAACUACGU
rnacentral:rRNA from 1 species